UAGCAAUACACUGGAAGUUCUAGUGGCGAACGGGUGCGUAACACGUGGACAAUCUGCCUUAAAGUGGGGGAUAGCUCGGCGAAAGCCGAAUUAAUACCGCAUGUGAUCAGUCAAGACAUCUUGGCGAAAUCAAAGACGGCGCAAGCUGUCGCUUUUUGUGGAGUCCGCGGCCUAUCAGCUAGUUGGUGAGGUAACGGCUCACCAAGGCUUUGACGGGUAGCUGGUCUGAGAGGACGACCAGCCACACUGGAACUGAGACACGGUCCAGACACCUACGGGUGGCAGCAGUCGAGAAUUUUUCUCAAUGGGGGAAACCCUGAAGGAGCGACGCCGCGUGGAGGAUGAAGGUCUUCGGGUUGUAAACUCCUGUCAUUUGGGAACAAGUGCCGGUACGUAACUGCUACCGGCUUGAUAGUACCAGAAAAAGGAAAGAAACGGCUAACUCUGUGCCAGCAGCCCGCGGGUAAUAACAGGAGGUCUCAAGCGUUGUUCGGAUUCAUUGGGGCGUAAAAGGGUGCGUAGGGUGGCGUCGUAAAGUCAGGGUGUGAAAUCUCGGGGGCUUAACUUCCGAAACUGCAUUUGAUACUGCGGUGCUUUGAGGACUGGAGAAGGAGACUGGGAAUUCUCGGUGUAGCA
rnacentral:rRNA from 1 species